UACGAAGGGUGCAAACGUUGCUCGGAAUCAUUGGGCGUAAAGCGCACGUAGGCGGCCUCAUAAGUCGGAUGUGAAAUCCCUCGGCUCAACCGAGGACGUGCAUACGAAACUGCGAGGCUCGAGUAUGGAAGAGGGUCGCGGAAUUCCCGGUGUAGAGGUGAAAUUCGUAGAUAUUCGCAAGAACACCAGUGGCGAAGGCGGCUCACUGGCCCGGUACUGACGCUGAGGUGCGAAAGCGUGGGGAGCGAACAGG
rnacentral:rRNA from 1 species